GACGAACGCUGGCGGCGUGCUUAACACAUGCAAGUCGAACGGAAAGGCCCUGCUUUUGUGGGGUGCUCGAGUGGCGAACGGGUGAGUAACACGUGAGUAACCUGCCCUUGACUUUGGGAUAACUUCAGGAAACUGGGGCUAAUACCGGAUAGGAGCUCCUGCUGCAUGGUGGUGGUUGGAAAGUUUCGGCGGUUGGGGAUGGACUCGCGGCUUAUCAGCUUGUUGGUGGGGUAGUGGCUUACCAAGGCUUUGACGGGUAGCCGGCCUGAGAGGGUGACCGGCGACAUUGGGACUGAGAUACGGCCCAGACUCCUACGGGAGGCAGCAGGGGGGAAUAUUGCACAAUGGGCGGAAGCCGGAUGCAGCAACGCCGCGUGCGGGAUGACGGCCUUCGGGUUGUAAACCGCUUUCGCCUGUGACGAAGCGUGAGUGACGGUAAGGGGUAAAGAAGCACCGGCUAACUACGUGC
rnacentral:rRNA from 1 species